AACUCAUUUGCCGAUCACGAAUCUGCCACGUUACUUCCCAAAAACUUAAAAAAGAAAAAAAAAAAAAAAAUCAAGAUCCCAAAAUUUGAAAUCUUCCCUGAAACAAAUCCUACACAUAUACAUUUCAAUUUUCAAUUUCCCUAAACCCAAAAAAACUCUCCCCAAAUUUCCAUUCAAUUUUGAAAACCCUAGCCACCACAUUCUCCAAUCACAGCCCGUUCCCACGGCGGUCACCACAGCCACACCAGGUUGCCUGCCUCAACUCAUCACUUUCUCCCAUCUCAGCCGCACCAGCACCACCAAUCUCAACGACACCCCAACUGACCACCACCCUAAGCGGCCAUCACUUCCCCCCCGACUUUGACUUCUGCUUAUCAGAUGAUGAGGAUGGUGAUUAAUGAUAGUAUGUGCAACAAGGGGACAGACAGUCUCUUUGUAGAAGGGCAUAUGCCAAUUGGAACGUUCUCAUGGCUGUUUCAGCAACAUGACCAGGUAAAGGAGGGGUGUUGGAGAGGCCAGUUAUAGAGAGAACCACUCCUGGCUGAGAAUCCAAAUUUGAUCUGAGGUAUUAUAUGCCCAAUAUUCUGAGUUGUUUCUUUUUAAGUGUUCCAGUGGAAUAUGCAUUUUAAUGUAUCUCAAGGUAAAACCAUUUAUCUUAAGUCAUUUUGUUCCUUUCAUUCUUACAAGUUUGAAUUUCUCUUUAAUUAUUGUGCAUUUUGUUUUGUGAAUAUUUCUGUACGACAUAGAAUAGUUCUCUUUUAUAUAGAAUCAAAUGAAUGGCAUGCUGAAGCAUUAGUGGUACUAUUCUUUACUUUUUCAGGAAAAAAAAAAAAAACAAUUCCACCUUAUUGAGUGAUACUACACAAUUACAGCUAAACUAAACGGGAAUAUUUUGUCCAAGUAUUAAUGAAGAGGAUCAUUGCAUGCAACUAAGAGGCAAUGGGCUACUGAGUUCUAUUGAACCUGCAAGUGGUGGUGGUUGCUGAAGAUGUAGCCCUAGUGAAAAAUCCCCUGGGUUUAUUCUUCCCACAAAGUCAUACAAAUCUGUAUACAGUCCAGUCUAAUAUUUUAUUUUUGAUUUUAUUUGUAAUAGGUUUUUUGUGUACUUUGUUUUGGAGUUUAUUGUGUGUAAGUACAAUGUUGAUUUUGUUAUAAGGUUUGGAGUGGCUAGUCAAUAUUAUAACAUUAUAGCAAAAUGUAAUUCGACUAGUGAAUUUACAAUUUU